UACGAAGGGGGCUAGCGUUGUUCGGAAUUACUGGGCGUAAAGCGCACGCAGGCGGCUCGAUAAAUUAGAAGUGAAAGCCCCGGGCUUAACCUGGGAAUUGCUUUUAAGACUGUCGAGCUAGAAUCCAGAAGAGGGUAGUGGAAUUCCGAGUGUAGAGGUGAAAUUCGUAGAUAUUCGGAAGAACACCAGUGGCGAAGGCGACUUACUGGACACAUAUUGACGCUGAGGUGCGAAAGCGUGGGGAGCAAACAGG
rnacentral:rRNA from 1 species